AACGAACGCUGGCGGCAUGCCUAACACAUGCAAGUCGAACGAGACCUUCGGGUCUAGUGGCGCACGGGUGCGUAACGCGUGGGAACCUGCCCUUAGGUUCGGAAUAACUCCCCGACAGGGGUGCUAAUACCGGAUAAUGUCUUCGGACCAAAGAUUUAUCGACUUUGGAUGGGCCCGCGUUGGGUUAGCUAGUUGGUAGGGUAAAAGCCUACCAAGGCGUCGAUCCAUAGCUGGUCUGAGAGUAUGAUCAGCCACACUGGGACUGAGACACGGCCCUGACUCGUACGGGAGGAAGGCGUGGUGAAUAUUGGACAGUGGGCGAAAGCCUGAUCCAGCGAUGCCGCGUGGGUUAUGAAGGCCUUAGGGUUGGAAAGCUCUUUUAACCGGGAUGAUAAUGACAGUACCGUGAGAAUAAGCUCCGGCUAACUCCGUG
rnacentral:rRNA from 1 species